GUCUUCUCGUUUGUUUGGGAAGUCUGGCCUGCCCGGUGAUAUUAUUUAACGGCCGCGGUAUUUUGACCGUGCAAAGGUAGCAUAAUCAUUAGUCUUUUAAUAGGAGGCUGGAAUGAAAGGUUUGACGAGGUGUUAGCUGUCUCAUUUUAAUUUAUAGAAUUUGACUUUUUAGUUAAAAGGCUAAAAUCUUAUUGGAAGACGAGAAGACCCUAUAGAGCUUUACAUUUAUAUUUAUAAUAGCUUAUAGGAAAUAAUUUGUUAUUGUUUUUGUAAUUGUUUUGUUGGGGUGACAAGAAAAUAUAUUUAACUUUUAUUAUUUAAUUUCCAUUUGUUUAUGAUUAUUAGGUCCAUUAUUAUUGAUCAUUAGAACAAGUUACCUUAGGGAUAACAGCGUAAUCUUCUUUCAGAGUUCAAAUUUACAAGAAGGCUUGCGACCUCGAUGUUGGAUUAAGAUGAUUUUUGGGUGUAGCCGCUCAAUUAAUAGGUCUGUUCGACCUUUAAAUUCUUACAUGAUCUGAGUUCAGACCGG
rnacentral:rRNA from 1 species